AUUGAACGCUGGCGGCAUGCUUUACACAUGCAAGUCGAACGGUAACAGGCCUUCGGGCGCUGACGAGUGGCGAACGGGUGAGUAACGCAUCGGAACGUGCCCAGUCGUGGGGGAUAACGCAGCGAAAGCUGUGCUAAUACCGCAUACGAUCUGCGGAUGAAAGCGGGGGACCUUAGGGCCUCGCGCGAUUGGAGCGGCCGAUGUCAGAUUAGCUAGUUGGUGGGGUAAAGGCCCACCAAGGCGACGAUCUGUAGCUGGUCUGAGAGGACGACCAGCCACACUGGAACUGAGACACGGUCCAGACCUCCUACGGGAGGCAGCAGUGGGGAAUUUUGGACAAUGGACGCAAGUCUGAUCCAGCCAUUCCGCGUGCAGGNUGAAGGCCUUC
rnacentral:rRNA from 1 species